rnacentral:rRNA from 1 species
UACGUAGGGUGCAAGCGUUGUCCGGAAUUAUUGGGCGUAAAGAGCGUGUAGGCGGCCCGAUUAGUCCGCUGUGAAAGUCCAGGGCUCAACCCUGGAAUGCCGGUGGAUACUGUCGGGCUAGAGUCCGGAAGGGGCGAGUGGAAUUCCUGGUGUAGCGGUGAAAUGCGCAGAUAUCAGGAGGAACACCAGUGGCGAAGGCAGCUCGCUGGGACGUGACUGACGCUGAGACGCGAAAGCGUGGGGAGCAAACAGG